rnacentral:rRNA from 1 species
CUUUUCUUGUAAAUAUAUAGGAAGUAUAGCCUGCCCAAUGAUUAUUUUAAUGGCCGCGGUAUUUUGACCGUGCAAAGGUAGCAUAAUCAUUAGUCUUUUAAUUGAAGGCUGGAAUGAAUGGCUGGACGAGAUAAUAACUAUCUUAAUUUUAUUAUUUUGAAUUUAAUUUUUGAGUUAAAAAGCUUAAAUUUUUUUUUGGGACGAGAAGACCCUAUAGAGUUUAAUAGUUGAGUUAUUAUUAAUAGAGUAUUAUAAUUAUUGAAUUAACUUAAUUAUUUUAUUGGGGUGAUAGGAAGAUAUGUGUAACUCUUUUUAAUAUUUUUUAUAAAUUUAUAUAAUUAUUGAUCCAUAUUUAAUGAUUAAAAGACUAAAUUACC